CUGGUCAACGGCGGUGGAAACAUCGCUACUCCGCAAGGGGGUCCAGUCGAGGUGCUGCAUGGCUGUCGUCAGCUCGUGUCGUGAGAUGUUGGGUUAAGUCCCGCAACGAGCGCAACCCUUGUCCUGUGUUGCCAUGCCGAAAGGCGGAACUCGCAGGAGACCGCCAGCGAUAAGCUGGAGGAAGGUGGGGAUGACGUCAAGUCCUCAUGGCCUUUAUGUCCAGGGCUACACACGUGCUACAAUGGCCGGUACAACACGCCGCAAACCCGCGAGGGGGAGCCAAUCGUAAAAAACCGGUCUCAGUUCGGAUUGCAGGCUGCAACUCGCCUGCAUGAAGCUGGAAUCGCUAGUAAUGGCAGAUCAGCACGCUGCCGUGAAUACGUUCCCGGGCCUUGUACACACCGCCCGUCACAUCACGAAAGUGGGCUGUACUAGAAGCCCGCAGGCCGACCCGCAAGGGGGGCAGCGGUCCAAGGUAUGACUCAUGAUUGGGGUGAAGUCGUAACAAGGUAACC
rnacentral:rRNA from 1 species